CCGUGAUAAAAUAAAAUGGUAACGCUUUAGGGGAUUUAUCUAGAUUAAUUAGUUAGGGUAUUCAAGUAAAUACAAAUAAAUAAGAAUAGGAAAUAAAGAGUUAGAAUUGGGCCCUUUGGGCCCAUUUAUGGGCUGCCCAGAAUUUGGGCCUAAAUCCCAUGAAUUUCUGUCCAUUAUCUCAGUGUAUAUCAUCUGUAUACUGACUGUAUAUCAUUUUUUCUUCUGCUGCGUUUUUGUGUAUAUUCAGCAUAUAUAAGACCGUAUACCGGUCGAAUAUAUACAUAUUUUUGCCUUCCAACCACAUAAUCCGCUUCCUUCUCCAUGUCCCCUUUUCCAAGCCUGUAUAAUGGUGUAUAUCUGCUGUAUACCAGCACAAAACAGUCCCCUUGGGACUUGGAUAUGAGGUUUUGACUCGAUGCAAAUAGGGUUUAACCCAACGGAAUGCAAGAGAGGGAGUCCGAGUGACUCAUACGAGAGAGUUCCU
rnacentral:lncRNA from 1 species